rnacentral:rRNA from 1 species
UGACGGUACCUGCAGAAAAAGCAACGGCUAACUACGUGCCAGCAGCCGCGGUAAUACGUAGGUGGCAAGCGUUGUCCGGAUUUACUGGGUGUAAAGGGCGCGUAGGCGGGAAAGCAAGUCAGAUGUGAAAUCUCUGGGCUCAACCCAGAAACUGCAUUUGAAACUGUUUUUCUUGAGUGUCGGAGAGGUAAACGGAAUUCCUAGUGUAGCGGUGAAAUGCGUAGAUAUUAGGAGGAACACCAGUGGCGAAGGCGGUUUACUGGACGAUAACUGACGCUGAGGCGCGAAAGCGUGGGGAGCAAACAGGAUUAGAUACCCUG